rnacentral:rRNA from 1 species
GACGAACGCUGGCGGCGUGCUUAACACAUGCAAGUCGAACAGAAAGGCCCUGCUUUUGUGCGGUGAUCGAGUGGCGAACGGGUGAGUAACACGUGAGUAACCUGCCCUUGUUUUUGGGAUAACUUCAGGAAACUGGGGUUAAUACCGGAUAGGAGAUCAUGUUGCAUGGUGGGGGUUGGAAAGUUUCGGCGGUUGGGGAUGGACUAGCGGCUUAUCAGCUUGUUGGUGGGGUAGUGGCUUACCAAGGCUUUGACGGGUAGCCGGCCUGAGAGGGUGACCGGGCACAUGGGUACUGAGAUACGGCCCAGACUCCUACGGGAGGCAGUGGUGGGGAGUAUUGCACAGUGGGCGGAAGCGUGAGGCAGCAGCGCCGCGUUCGGGAAGACGUCCUUCGGGGUAUAAACCGCUGUCGCCUGUGACGAAGCGGGAGUGACGGUAAUGAGUAAAGAAGCACCGGCUAACUACGUG